rnacentral:rRNA from 1 species
GUGGGGAAUCUUGCGCAAUGGGCGAAAGCCUGACGCAGCCAUGCCGCGUGAAUGAUGAAGGUCUUAGGAUUGUAAAAUUCUUUCACCGGGGACGAUAAUGACGGUACCCGGAGAAGAAGCCCCGGCUAACUUCGUGCCAGCAGCCGCGGUAAUACGAAGGGGGCUAGCGUUGCUCGGAAUUACUGGGCGUAAAGGGCGCGUAGGCGGACAGUUUAGUCAGAGGUGAAAGACCAGGGCUCAACCUUGGAAUUGCCUUUGAUACUGGCUGUCUUGAGUACGGAGGAGGUGAGUGGAACUCCGAGUGUAGAGGUGAAAUUCGUAGAUAUUCGGAAGAACACCAGAGGCGAAGGCGACUCACUGGCCCAUUACUGACGCUGAGGCGCGAAAGCGUGGGGAGCAAACAGGAUUAGAAACCCGGGUAGUCC